UACAGAGGGGGCAAGCGUUGUUCGGAAUUACUGGGCGUAAAGGGCGCGUAGGCGGCCUGUUAAGUCGGACGUGAAAUCCCUCGGCUCAACCGGGGAGCUGCGUCCGAUACUGGCGGGCUUGAAUUCGGGAGAGGGAUGUGGAAUUCCAGGUGUAGCGGUGAAAUGCGUAGAUAUCUGGAGGAACACCGGUGGCGAAGGCGGCAUCCUGGACCGACAUUGACGCUGAGGCGCGAAAGCCAGGGGAGCAAACGGG
rnacentral:rRNA from 1 species